AAUAAAAUAGGAGUAGAGAUAGACUUUAUAUCAAAAGCCAUACACUUAUUCUUAAUAAUAUUAAAUUAAAGGAACCAGAGCAAAUUCAAAUGAUCAGUCCUGGUCUGGUUUCGCCUUGACCAAAGCCUUCUUAGUAGGCAGCGGUCCCUUGUCCCCCGCCUUAUGACCUUGCUUUGCUAUAGCCUUCUUCCUUGGAGAGACCAAGCUCUGAACCAACCUCUUCUUCGCAUUCCCUCCCAUCGCAGCAGCCAUGAGCUUUCCAGCCUUCUUCUUUGCAGCCUGAUUGUCUUUCUCACCUGCCACCUCCAUCAUUUCAUCAGUUGAGAAAGCCUCCUCAAUCUCCAUAGAUUUCACCUCCGCUGAGACAUCUUGAGCAAGCCCUGCCUCCUCCUCCCCAUCCUCCAUCAUAUCCAACUCGAAGAGGCCACCUUCCUCAUCUAGACCCGCCACCAUCUCCCCGAUCACCUCAUCUUCCUUGCUCUCUAUCUCCAAUGUCUACUUCCCACCAUUCUCCACAGUUGAAAGCACCAUCCCAUUCUCUUCCUUCAGAUCCUUAUUUUCCACAGUGGCGGCAACUUCAGUUGCAGCCUGAUCAUCUCCUAACAGUUCCCGAGGACCUUCCUCUCCAAUCUCAUUGUCAAACAAAAGGGCCUUGCACGCCUUUGACCCUGAAGCCUCUCCACUUUCACCACUCUUGAAGGCCUCUAGCAUCAGUUUCUGUUGCGGGUCUAGAUGAGCUCCAAAAUCCUGAUUGCGCAGGCCAUUAAGACCACCAGUGGCCAUAGCAUAGCUAUCCCUUAGUUCUUGAGGUGGCAGAUAACCCGCAUUCCUAAUAUAUUUCGCCGUCGGUCUCCCUUGCUCCUUAC
rnacentral:lncRNA from 1 species